rnacentral:rRNA from 1 species
AUUUAAUUUUCCCGGUGGAAAUAUUUUGGACUGACGCAGUGGUCAGGUUUUGGACGUUGCGUUGGAAAGUUUCAUGAACCUUAUCACUUAGAGGAAGGAGAAGUCGUAACAAGGUUUCCGUAGGUGAACCUGCGGAAGGAUCAUUC